rnacentral:rRNA from 1 species
AGGGUUCGAUUCUGGCUCAGAUUGAACGCUAGCGGGAUGCCUUACACAUGCAAGUCGAACGGCAGCACGGACUUCGGUCUGGUGGCGAGUGGCGAACGGGUGAGUAAUGUAUCGGAACGUGCCCAGUAGCGGGGGAUAACUACGCGAAAGCGUAGCUAAUACCGCAUACGCCCUACGGGGGAAAGCAGGGGAUCGCAAGACCUUGCACUAUUGGAGCGGCCGAUAUCGGAUUAGCUAGUUGGUGGGGUAACGGCUCACCAAGGCGACGAUCCGUAGCUGGUUUGAGAGGACGACCAGCCACACUGGGACUGAGACACGGCCCAAACUCCUACGGGAGGCAGCAGUAGGGAAUCUUCCGCAAUGGACGAAAGUCUGACGGAGCAACGCCGCGUGAGUGAAGAAAGGUUUUCGGAUCGUAAAACUCUGUUGUCAGAGAAGAACAAGUUGGAGAGUAACUGCUCCAGCCUUGACGGUAUCUGACCAGAAAGCCACGGCUAACUACGUGCCAGCCGCCGC